CAGCUAGUUGGUAGGGUAACGGCCUACCAAGGCUUUGAUCGUUAGCUGGUCUGAGAGGAUGGCCAGCCACACUGGAACUGAGACACGGUCCAGACUCCUACGGGAGGCAGCAGUGGGGAAUCUUGCACAAUGGGCGAAAGCCUGAUGCAGCGACGCCGCGUGGGGGAUGAAGCAUUUCGGUGUGUAAACCCCUUUCGACCCGGACGAAUGCCUCGCAAGAGGAGUGACGGUACGGGUAUAAGAAGCCCCGGCUAACUACGUGCCAGCAGCCGCGGUAAGACGUAGGGGGCCAGCGUUGUUCGGAAUUACUGGGUGUAAAGGGUUCGUAGGCGGUGUGGCAAGUUGGGAGUGAAAUCUCUGGGCUCAACCCAGAGGCUGCUUCCAAAACUGCUGUGCUUGAGUGUGGGAGAGGCGCGUGGAAUUGCAGGUGUAGCGGUGAAAUGCGUAGAUAUCUGCAGGAACACCCGUGGCGAAAGCGGCGCGCUGGACCACAACUGACGCUGAGGAACGAAAGCUAGGGGAGCAAACAGGAUUAGAUACCCUGGUAGUCCUAGCCCUAAACGAUCAGGACUUGGGGUGCCGCACGUUCGUGCG
rnacentral:rRNA from 1 species